rnacentral:rRNA from 1 species
GAUGAACGCUGGCGGCGUGCCUAAUACAUGCAAGUCGAGCGAACAGACCAGGCUCUUGCUCCUCUGACGUUUGCGGCGGGCGGGUGAGUAACACGUGUAUACCCUACCUAUCAGACUGGUAUAUCUUCGGGAAACCGGCUCUAAUACCGUAUAACAUCUUGCACCGCAUUGUGCAACAGUGAAAUACGGUCGUGCUGUCACGUAUAGCUGGUUCCGCGCCGCAUUAUCUAGUUGGUAAUGUAACGGCUUACCAAGGCAACGAUGCGUAGCCGAGCUGCGGGGGUGAUCGGCCACACAGGAAGUGAGACACGGUACAGACUCCGACGGGAGGCAGCAGUAGGGACGCGUCCGAAAAGGGCGAAAGCCUGACGGAGCAACGCAGCGCGAGUGAAGAAGGUCUGCGGAUGGUAAAACGCUGUUAUGAGGGAAGAACAAAUGUGUAAGUAACUAUGCACGUGUGGACGGUACCGAAAAAGAAAGACACGGUAAAUUACGU